GUCAUCAGCAUGCGUUGAUUACGUCCCUGCCCUUUGUACACACCGCCCGUCGCUACUACCGAUUGAAUGGCUCGGUGAGGCCUUCGGACUGGCCCAGGGAGGUCGGCAACGACCACCCAGGGCCGGAAAGUUGGUCAAACCCGGUCAUUUAGAGGAAGUAAAAGUCGUAACAAGGUCUCCGUAGGUGAACCUGCGGAGGGAUCAUUACAAGA
rnacentral:rRNA from 1 species